rnacentral:lncRNA from 1 species
AUGCAAGUAUGUUCCUCAAGAAUGAAUCAAGCAAUGUAUAAUUUCCAUACCGGUUUAGAUGUGCCAAAGAUUUAUUGUUGGGUUCCUAGUAAAUCUACAGAUCUUGGACACUGUACAGGAAAUUGUGCCCUGAAAGUACUUCUUUAUGAAAGACAAACACUGGAAGCAGAAUAUCAAUAUUUUGAUUCCAUGAGGAGAAACUCUGUAGGAUUCUGUAAAAUCGCAGCCCCUCCCCCACUUGAGAAAUGAAGUGCAUGAAAGUGGCCUUCAGCUUCUAAAAAUAAGAAACUCCAUAAACCCAGUUACCUGCGCUCAGAGUCCUUUGGUUUGAGUAAAGUUUCACAGACCCUGUUUCAUGACUAGAGAGAUGCUUCUUCCCAUAUUAAUAUGCAUAUACAUGAAAAACCAAUUUUGUACCAGUAGAGCCUGUUCAUGACUUUUAGUCAUAUAUGAAAGUUUUUCAAAUUAAAAAAGGAAAGCAGAGUACGCUUACCCAGUUUUAAAAAAUCAGCGUGAGGUGCAGGAAUUACAUAGGGGUUAAAUCAGCAAGGUGCUGAGGAUAGUUUUGCCAUCAUCCAUCCCCUUGUCUGCAAGAAGAUAAAACAGUACAUUGGGAUUAUGAUGUCAAAACUGCUGACUGUUGCACAUGUCACUAAAUGGAAGUUUGAAUGUACUUUAGAAAAGGAACAUCACAUCAGUCACCUUGCUUUCUCUCCUUUUAAAGUAUCUAUUUUUUCUUUCUUUUUUUUUAAUUCGUAUUUGCUAGUAAUAGAUUGGGAGGAAAGGCUCAGAUUUAAAUAAAGAUUUGAAAUUCUUGCAUAUACUCAAUUGCUAUUUUACGUGUGGAAGAUUAUAACAAUAUAGUAUGGAACUUGAUUCAAUGGUAUUUAAAAAAAAAAAUCUUGAGAUGGCUGGAAGAACUUCCCUAAUCUUGAUGGGAUUUCUAUGAAGCACUCUAGCUAAUCUUAAUUGUAAAUGGUGGUGAAUUUGUUGUUAUUUUAAGUUUUCUUUUUCCUUCUGAAAUCUAAGGCUGUGUAUGUUUAUCUGACCUAACACUUGAGAAAGAGGUCCUUGUUGUAAACCCAGAGACUGGAACGGUUCAUCAAUAAAAAUCAAUGUUAAAGCCAGCUGGGAGAUUCUCCAAAAGCAUUUAAAUAAAUACCUGUCACCAAAUCACUACAAUUCAGGGUGUGCUGGAACCAACUCCCAGGAAGCAAUUAUGCACAUCUUUUUCUAUCUCUUCCAUUUUGACAGUUCAGCCAUGGUGGUAAUUUUUAGACCACCGUGGAAAUCAGCACACACUACCUUUUUUUUCCCCACCCUGGAGAACCAGUUGUUAAAUGUUUACCAAUACUUCUCUGCUUAAAUUACUUUAUAAAAGGAAACCAC